AAGAAGUUCCUUUUCAAAUUGGAUUCUACUUCAGGAAAAACAAAAAAAAAAAAAGCCAAAAAGAAAAUGAAUUCACCACUUCAAAAAAUGAAUUGGCGGAGGGAGAGAACCUGGAAGAAGCCUAUCUUGGCAUUCUUGAUACUACACUGCCAUCCAGCGGAAUUACUUUGCUGUACUGCCACCACCUCUAUGAAGCUUUUUCUCAGCCUAUCUGAAAGUGAGUUGUGAGUGCCCAGGACUUCUGGUUCAAAUACUGAAUCAGCAAUCAAUGAACAAAUGAAGAAACAAUCCCUAUGUAUUCUCUACUCUGCACAAGCUGGAGUCUCCUCAUCCUUGGCCAUGUGUGGCUGGCACGUAGACUUGCAGACUGGAGAUGCCCUGGAAUUGAACUCACUGCCCCAUGUUUGCAGAACAGUUAAGAAAAAACAUACCUGGAGAACCUUACUAGGAAGAUUUUGAGGGCUGAAAGUUAUGGCUGCUUUGAGCUCUCAAGGGAACUGAUGCCUGGGAUCCUAAGGAUCUGAAUACAUGGAGAAGGACAAAGAAAUUUCCAAUCUGAGGUCUUUGGAUCCUUAAGCCAAUAGAACAGAAUAGAGAGGAGAGCUGCUAACCAAACACUUCGGUCUUCUUGUCUAAAGAUCUCAACUUAUGGAGUCCAUGACCCUGGAUUUGCAUGGGUGGAUGUUCUGGGCCAUUGCUACAUCAUGGAUGUUUUCCCGGCCUGUGGGUUGUGUGGGGACCUGAUUUGAUGCUGAACCCCGGAUUCCAAGUCCAAGACAAAGAGAGCUCUCCCAGCAAAACUCCUGAAGUACAGCAGAAGAAUAAAGGGAAUAAAAAGGAAGCCAAAAGACAGAAAAUACAGAAAGGAAGGGAAGAAAAAAAGCAGAGACAACAGGCUGAGUAUCUAAGAGUGGAAGGAGGGAAGGAAUGAAAAAGAGGGAGUAAUGGAAGUGAGAGUAGGGUAGAGAGUAUGAUGAAUUGAAAGGACUGACAUAUUUUUGACCUCUAGAUGGCAUUUCUCGAGACCCUGAAGCUCAUGAACAAAGUCCAGAAUCUCAUGGGCACUGGCUGAUUCCAAGAAAUGAGAUAUAUAUGCAGAAAGGUAUCUAAAAAACAGGUCAGAGGCAAUUGGGGGAGAUUCCUAACCUUGAUCAGCAAGUUACCCACAUAUCUGUGCCCCAGUUGAUGAAUCCGAAAUAGUGUUCCUCAUCACUGUGCAAACAUGGCCGCCUCGAGAUCACAAAGCCCAUAUUCGCAAGUAGCUGAAUUUAUUACUCAGAGAAGCAAGCUGGCUAACCGCAGAACCUGCCAGUUGGCUCAAGCUACCUUCACUUUAAUAUUUGAACCAGAAGCUGAAGCACUCCUCACCCACUACCAGACUUGCCAAGGAAAAGCUUAUGGAGGUGUUGAUAAGAACAGCAAAGCAAUUCCACUGGAUGGCAGUGUAGUAUCAAGAAUGUGAAGAUACCCUUCUUACAGGUUCUCUCCCUCCGCCCUUCUUGGAGUGAAAAAAAAAAAAAACUGAAACAGUUCAACAUAACACUUGACUCUGAUAUAUGUUAGAUAGAAAUUGGUUCCUUAUGUCUACAGUACCUAUUAUCACUGAUCUGACCUGGGUGGUCUCUGUUUCAGUGUAUUAAGAUAUUCUCCCACAAGGACAGGGACCAUCCUCAAGGCAUAAGGGCCAAACAGGAAAACCCAAUGAGGAUCCCUUCCCCUGGAUGCAAGGGUCAGGAGAAGCCAUAGAAACAAACUUCUAGCCAGAGACUUAGUCUGGGGCACAGUACAGCACCAUCAGUUCAGCACUCGAGUUCGCACUAAAUUGGGAACUGCAAAGCUAGAAAGAAGAGUCAGAAGACGCAAUACAUAUAAAUUCUUCAGAAGAAACGGGACCUUGGGCUGAGUACAAGUCCCUCCUGUGCUACCAAGAUAUAUCUAUUCUUCAGUCCUUUGCCCCCAGACAUUUUGAGAGAAAACACACUGAAUUAUUGGUGGGAACAUUAAGAACAGAUCACUUGCUGACAGUAUUGAACCAAGAAGCCAAGGUACCCAUCUUUCAGGUUCUCUCCCUCCACCCUUCUUUGAUAAACAACAACAACAACAACAACACCACACACGCACACACACACACACACACACACACACACACACACACACACACACACAUUUUGCCAAUAAAUCCCAAGUUGACUGACCUUAAUCAUGGCCUCCUUUGGCCAGAGAUGGGCUUUGGAGCUUCACUGUAUACAUACUGUCUCGGAGGUCACAGGCCACACAAGUUCCUCAUUCCCAGUCCAACACAAGAACGUGGCAUGCCCUCAGAAACAUACAGGAAAACUAAGAGCAAUGGUCAAAAGAAGGUCUACAAAUACAUUCUUAGGCAGAAACUUGACCUUGGGCAACAUAUGACUCACUCACAUCUUUCCAGAAAUAAUCUGACUGGCCCAUAUGUACAUAACUUAUAACUGGAAUUUUGUCAGUGAGUGCCAAGGUAAACCAUAGAGUGUUCAGUCCUCCCACGGGGAAGAAGAGAUUGUAUAGCCAUUCGACAACCAAGCUUCUAGUUCAAGGCUACCUGAUUCUUCUCCCUACACAUACAUACCAGGCUCCUGACAGGAAAAGUUGGAAGGACAAAUAAGGAAGACAGUUGGAACAAUAGAGACAACCAGCUAUUCAAACAGAGUCAAGGGCCAGUGAUACAUUCAAACCUAGAAGAAGGAGAUGCCAGGUUGUAGUGAAGAAGAAAAAAAAAAACCACACACACACACACACACACAGAUGCUUUCCUUUUUGAGUGCCCUAGUUCCUUUUUUACAAACCAGAGUCAAAAUAAAAACUACAACUGUCACCCAAACUCUUUGGUCUUCUUGUCCAGAGAACCCAACCUGUGCAUUCCCAGACCUUGUCUGUACUUCCUGUCAGCCAUAUUGUAAAGUUCAUGUGAGUUUUUUGUGUUAAGUCACUUUAUCCUCUAAUGAAACAUUGGGCUUCUAGAAUAUUCACCUGGGAACUAUGUCAAAGAACUGUUAGCCCUACAGAUACUACGUCAGAGUAAAAGGUUGGGAAAAAAGGUCUUCCAAGCAAAUGGUCCCAAGAAACAAGCUGGAGUUGCCAUCCUAAUAUCCAAUAAAAUACACUUUCAACCAAAAGUUAUCAAGCAAGAUCAUCAAGAAUAAAAAUCCACCAUGAGAAAGUC
ensembl:lncRNA